rnacentral:rRNA from 1 species
AAACACUGACCAAGGAGUCUUGAAUGUGCGCGAGUCAAAGGGCUGGCUAAACCCCAAGGCGAAACGAAAGUGAUGUUGUUGUUGUGAUUGUGAUUCUUUUCAAGACCACACGCACUGCACACUAGGGCUGAUCCGGUUCGGGGCGCGCGAUAGAGGGAGAUUUUUUUCCUUCGACUCUCCUACCCCGAUUUGUCACCUUAAUAUGUGACCGGCGCAAGCCCGGGGCCCGCACGUCGCUCCUCCCCGUCGCUAAUGCCUAGCCGUAUU